rfam:Dipodomys ordii contig_32401, whole genome shotgun sequence.
GGUGGCUCAGUGGUAGAGCGCUUGCCUUACAUACAGGAGACCCUGGGUUCGAUUCCUGAGCACCA